AGAAUCAACGCUGGCGGCGUGCCUAACACAUGCAAGUCGAACGAGAAAGGGACUUCGGCCCUGAGUACAGUGGCGCACGGGUGAGUAACACGUGACUAACCUACCCUGGAGUGGGGAAUAACUGAGGGAAACCUUAGCUAAUACCGCAUAAUACCUACGGGUCAAAGGAGCAAUUCGCUUCAGGAGGGGGUCGCGGCCGAUUAGCUAGUUGGCGGGGUAAUGGCCCACCAAGGCAAUGAUCGGUA
rnacentral:rRNA from 1 species